AUUGAACGCUGGCGGCAGGCCUAACACAUGCAAGUCGAACGAGUGGCGGACGGGUGAGUAAUGUCUGGGAAACUGCCUGAUGGAGGGGGAUAACUACUGGAAACGGUAGCUAAUACCGCAUACCAUCGGAUGUGCCCAGAUGGGAUUAGCUUGUAGGUGAGGUAACGGCUCACCUAGGCGACGAUCCCUAGCUGGUCUGAGAGGAGGACCAGCCAGACUGGAAAUGAGACACGGUCCAGACUCCGACGGGCGGCAGCAGUGUGGAAGAUGGCACAAUGGGGGCAAGCCUGAUGCAGCCAUGCCGCGUGUAUGAAGAAGGCCUUCGGGUUGUAAAGUACGUUCAGCGGGGAGGCGUUACCCGCAGAAGAAGCACCGGCUAACUCCGUGCCAGCAGCCGCGGUAAUAC
rnacentral:rRNA from 1 species